rnacentral:rRNA from 1 species
UGAGGAAUAUUGGUCAAUGGACGAGAGUCUGAACCAGCCAAGUCGCGUGAAGGAUGACUGCCUUAUGGGUUGUAAACUUCUUUUAUAUGGGAAUAAAAAGAGCUACGUGUAGUUUAUUGCAUGUACCAUAUGAAUAAGCAUCGGCUAACUCCGUGCCAGCAGCCGCGGUAAUACGGAGGAUGCGAGCGUUAUCCGGAUUUAUUGGGUUUAAAGGGUGCGCAGGCGGGCUUUUAAGUCAGCGGUGAAAGUUUGGGGCUUAACCUUAAAAUUGCCGUUGAAACUGAUUGUCUUGAGUGUAGGCGAAGUAGGCGGAAUUCGUUGUGUAGCGGUGAAAUGCAUAGAUAUAACGAGGAACUCCAAUUGCGUAGGCAGCUUACUAGACUAUAACUGACGCUCAUGCACGAAAGUGUGGGUAUCCAACA